rnacentral:rRNA from 1 species
GAUGAACGCUGGCGGCGUGCCUAAUACAUGCAAGUCGAGCGAACAGACGAGGAGCUUGCUCCUCUGACGUUAGCGGCGGACGGGUGAGUAACACGUGGAUAACCUACCUAUAAGACUGGGAUAACUUCGGGAAACCGGAGCUAAUACCGGAUAAUAUCUUGAACCGCAUGGUUCAAUAGUGAAAGACGGUUUUGCUGUCACUUAUAGCUGGAUCCGCGCCGCAUUAGCUAGUUGGUAAGGUAACGGCUUACCAAGGCAACGAUGCGUAGCCGACCUGAGAGGGUGAUCGGCCACACUGGAACUGAGACACGGUCCAGACUCCUACGGGAGGCAGCAGUAGGGAAUCUUCCGCAAUGGGCGAAAGCCUGACGGAGCAACGCCGCGUGAGUGAUGAAGGUCUUCGGAUCGUAAAACUCUGUUAUUAGGGAAGAACAAAUGUGUAAGUAACUAUGCACGUCUUGACGGUACCUAAUCAGAAAGCCACGGCUAACUACGUG